GACGUAGGUGGCGAGCGUUGUUCGGAAUCACUGGGCAUAAAGCGCACGUAGGCGGCUAGGUCAGUCGGAUGUGAAAUACCUCGGCUCAACCGAGGAACUGCGUCCGAUACUGCCUGGCUUGAGGUCCGGAGGGGAGAGUGGAAUUCCCGGUGGAGCGGUGAAAUGCGUAGAGAUCGGGAAGAACGCCGGCGGCGAAGGCGGCUCACUGGGCCGGACCUGACGCUGAGGCGCGAAAGCUAGGGGAGCAAACAGG
rnacentral:rRNA from 1 species